AGCGCUCGGGGCUGCCGACGGCUCCCCCGUCCCUGCAGGCGAUGGCCUGUGCACACAGUGACACACCCGCACCCCUGUCCACAGGCCCCAGGGAAGGACUGUGUGCAGCCAGGGCCCCAGCCUGGACACACGCCUGCGUUCAGACACAACUUUCCAUUCUUCCCCGGUUUUGACCCCAGAGAAGCCGUUGUGCCCGUCGGGGAUGGUCUGCAUCUUGCCCGUGGGACAGGGAUUAUCCUAGCGGGUGCUUCCUCCAGACGUCCCCAGGCCACUGUGGCAUCAUAUCUAUGACAUUGGAGGCGGGUGUCACAUGCGGGAAAUACCUCCAACCACAUGUUCUUCCUUGGUGUGUACAUGCGCCCAGGCCCACGAGGUCCAUGUGCACACACGUGGGCACCAGUGCUCUCAUACUGGAGGCCCAGAAGAUGACAGUCCCACCGGGGGAGGGAUGGGCAAUAGCUCCCCACGAUCCUAGGCUCCUGGAUCCAAGGCAAACCCUACAGAAGGUGUCAGAGUCUCGGCCUAGAAGGUUCUUUGACUCUGCACAUAUAGACAAAUCUCUGUUUCUGGCUCAUCAUGGCUUCCACUUCAAGGUAAGUGCCUUUGUUGAAAGCCUUUAUGAAGGGCCACACCCAGGACAUUUUUAGCUCUUGGUCCUCUGGCCUCACUAAGCAUAUGGUGUCUAGGAAAGAAAAAGGAGGAAGAGAGAGCAGAAAAGGGAGAUUGAGGAAAGAUGAGGCAAGCAGGGUAGUGUAUGUGGUAUAGGUGAGGCUUUGUAGCUCCAGGGUCUGCACUGUGUCUGAAAAUGUGAUUUAUUUCUCUCAUCUUAUUUUUUUUUUCAGAGAGAGGGAGAGAGAGCACAAGUGGGAGUUAGAGAGAGAGGGAGAACACGCUCCAGAUUGAGCACGGAGCCCGAUGUGGGACUCGACCUCAUGACCCCGAGAUCAGGAUCCAAGCUGAAACCAACAGUUGGUCACAUAACUGACUGUGCCAUCCAGGCGCCCCCUCCUCAUCUUUUAAUGCACAAGGUGCUUGCUACUGGACUACCAUGCUCCCUGCAAGCUUUACCAUUCCAUGAGUCUUCUUUCCUUAUUUUUUUCAAGAUUUUACUUAAAUUCUAGUUAGUUAACAUAUACUGUAAUAUUGGUUCAAGACUAGUGUUUAGUGAUUCAUCACUUACCUAUAACACCCAGUGCUCAUCACAACAAGUGCCCUCCUCACUGCCAAUCACCACGCCAAUCCCAUGCCCUCCUUCCCUCCAGCAAGCCUGUUGUUCUCUGUACUAAAGACUCUCUUAUAGUAUACCUCCCACUCUUUUCCUUCCUUCCCCUAUAUUCGUUUAUUUAUUUAUUUUUUAAUUCCACAUAUGAGUGAAAUCACCUGGUACUUUUUCUGAAUGACUGACUUUGCUUAACAUAUAGAAUACACUCUAGGUCCUUCUAUAUCAUUGCAAAAGAGAAUAUCAUCUUUUGAUGACUAAUAUUCCAUUGUCUGUCUGUCUAUCUAUCUAUCUGUCUAUGCACGACAUCUUCUUUGCCUGCUCAUCAGUCCAUGGACAUUUGGGCUCUUUUCAUAGUUUGUCUAAUGUUGAUAAUGCUGCUUAAAUAUUAGGGUGCAUGUGCCCCUUCAGAGAAUAUUCUUGUAUCC
rnacentral:lncRNA from 12 species